rnacentral:rRNA from 1 species
AUACGUAGGGAGCAAACGUUGUCCGGAUUUAUUGGGCGUAAAGGGCUCGUAGGCGGUUCAACAAGUCGGUCGUGAAAGCCCGGGGCUCAACCCCGGGACGCCGGUCGAAACUGUUGUGACUAGAGUUCGGUAGAGGUGAGUGGAAUUCUCGGUGUAGCGGUGGAAUGCGCAGAUAUCGAGAGGAACACCAUUAGCGAUGGCGGCUCACUGGGCCGAUACUGACGCUGAGGAGCGAAAGCGUGGGGAGCAAACAGGAUUAGAAACCCCAGUAGUCC